CUAGUUUCCCAGAUUCAGGGAGUAACAUAAAACACCUGCCUAGCAAUAGCAGAAUUCUAAUGUUUUGAAUGCCUUGGGCCAGGGACACUUUUGUCACUAUUCAGUUUCAGCCAUCAAUGAAAACUCCUUCUUCUUAGCUACCUGGUAUGGACGGUUGACUAACUGGUUGAAAAACAGUCAACAGUCUGGUUAGCGUCUUUGAAGCUUCCUGAGGAUGUGUACCACUCAGUCAUACCUUCACCGUGCUUACAAGAGCAUCUGUUGGGCUGACCUGCCGUGCCUGCAGCCCACAAGCCACCCCCUUCUUUUCCCACGCAUGGCCCAAAGCUACGAGCUCUCAGAGUUUUUCCUUCUUGCAGCACGAGAUGACACAAAGAUAGGUUCUGGCAGUUGCAGAUGCCUUGCUGUUGGAGGCUGGGAAAGGAAGAUGAAAUGUGCAGAGCCCUUGACUUCUCCCUUUUCUUAAGACUGUGGGAUAAAUUUUUCAAAACAUUGGCUAGGAGACUUGCAUUCAAAACCAGCUGAGUAAAUAAUGGGGCUUUGAUGGGACAAGAGGCCCAGGGAAAUGGAGGACCUGACUUGCUCACACAGCAGAAUCAGAACUAAGACCCAACCAUCCUACCUUUCAGCUGAGAGUAACUUCUACCAGAUCACGAUAUUUGGAUACGCAGUGUGUUUUGAAGUUGGAGAAGAAAUCCAAGACCAAACACGUAUUGAGGUUUAUUUUCCAUCACCUCAGUGGCUUCCAUUCUCCAGCUUCUGAGUCUUUUUGUUUGUUUUUGUUUUUUUGAGACAUGGUCUCACUUUGUCACCAAGGCUGAAGUGCAGUGGUGCGAUCUCCACUCACUGUAGCCUUGACCUCCCAGGUUCAAGUGAUCCUCCUGCAUCGGCCCCCCAAGUAGCAUGGACUACAGGCACAUGCCACCAUGCCUGGCUAAUUUUUGUAUUUUUAGUAGAGAUGAGGUUUCACCAUGUUGCCUAGGCUGUUCUUGAACUCCUGGACUCGAACGAUCUGCUUGUUUUGGUCUCUUAAAGUGCUAGGAUUACAGGCAUGAGCCACUGUGCUGGGCCUGGCUUCUGAGACUUUUUGCCAGAGGGCUUCAGACCCACACCUGGGGCAGGCCAAAAGCACUGGGGGCUUCAUUCCCCAGGAGCAAUGCUUAAGGAGUGUGGGUCGGGAAUGGGUGGAUAAAUGCUCCUGAUUCUUCACCGCUUCCUUGAUGUCGUGAUUCUGGGGUAUGUGUUCCCUGGUGACUCAGAGGCUCCUCAGCAGAUCUGAUCCCCAGUUGCCCACCCCAGUGACUCUCUCGUUAAUGUACCCUUCAUGAACUUCCCUCCUGCCCUCUAUCCUUUCCCUACUUCCUCAUUAUGCUUUCUGAGAUUAUCUCCCAAAUAAAUUAUUUAUACCCCCAUCCUUCCUUCCGGACCUUCUUUUGGGGAAAUGAGAACAUUUCCAUACUUAUAAGACCAUACUUAUAAGAAAAGAGCAUACCAGGAAGCUCGACCAGAGCUGUGAAGCCGGAAGUUUGCCUGCGAAUGGAUUUCCAAUGCUGUAAUCCUCAGGAUCAGCUUUGCCACUCACAGAGCCAAGUACAAAGUGAAAAUGGGGAGUCCCUGGUUGGGAAAGCACUAAGACUUUCAAGAUGAUGACAGCAGAGCAUUAAACCAUGGGCAGAGGCCAGGCAUGAGGGCUCACGCCUGUUAUCCCAGGACUUUGGGAGGCUGAAGCGGGCAGAUGACUUGAGGCUAGGAGUUUGAGACCAGCCUGACCAACAUGGUGAAACCCCGUCUCUACUAAAAAUACAAAAAAUUAGCCGGUCGUGGUGGCAUGUGCUUGUAGUCCCAGCUACUGGGAGGCUGAAGCAGGAGAACUGCUUGAACCAGGGAGGCGGGGGUUUCAGUGAGCCAAGAUCACACCACUACACACCAGCCUGGGUGACAGAGCAAGACUCUCUUUCAAAA
rnacentral:lncRNA from 10 species